rnacentral:rRNA from 1 species
AUUGAACGCUGGCGGCAUGCCUUACACAUGCAAGUCGAACGGCAGCACGGGAGCAAUCCUGGUGGCGAGUGGCGAACGGGUGAGUAAUAUAUCGGAACGUGCCCAGUAGUGGGGGAUAACUGCUCGAAAGAGCAGCUAAUACCGCAUACGACCUGAGGGUGAAAGGGGGGGAUCGCAAGACCUCUCGCGAUUGGAGCGGCCGAUAUCAGAUUAGCUAGUUGGUGGGGUAAAGGCCUACCAAGGCAACGAUCUGUAGUUGGUCUGAGAGGACGACCAGCCACACUGGGACUGAGACACGGCCCAGACUCCUACGGGAGGCAGCAGUGGGGAAUUUUGGACAAUGGGCGCAAGCCUGAUCCAGCAAUGCCGCGUGCAGGAAGAAGGCCUUCGGGUUGUAAACUGCUUUUGUCAGGGAAGAAAUCCUCUAGGUUAAUACCCUUGGGGGAUGACGGUACCUGAAGAAUAAGCACCGGCUAACUACGUGCCAGCAGCCGCAGUAACAC